rnacentral:lncRNA from 1 species
GCAGUUCAACGGGAUUCAUAUGUGGAUGUUUAUUCUAUGGUAAUCAUCCACCGCACAGAUGACAAAGCGAUCCGAACUCGUCAUUCAUCCUUCGUCACAGAUCUCCAAGCGUGCGGUAACGAUCCAACGGUGGAUUCGGGCGGAGGAACUAGGCGGAUCGUUCUUUCGCGCGAAACAUGCACCCCGUCGCUCUUGUUGUACGGCUCACGUUACCAGAUGCAUUCUUUCCUAUGUGCGUAGUACAUUAUUAGAGACAUCCAUGUAAUAAUAUAUAUAUGUCCAAACAUUCUACAGAAAGCGUGGCAGAAGUUCUGCAAUAAGUCAAAAUGAGACGUGGACGAGUACCAAACUAUACCUCCCCAGAGCCUUAGAUCCUACAAGCCACGUUCAAGAUGCGUGUACAAAGGACUCUCUCCCCCUCCCAUAUGAGAAAGGCAGAUCAUGAAACUAGCCAGUCACUGGUCAUACUUUCCCAGGUACAGCGCUUUGAGUCACCAUUAAAGAACGAGCUUCAUAGGUAUUCAUAAAAUUAAACCAAAGAAUAAUGACAUCCUUUCUAUAUACCCAAUCUUAUAUUAUAUGCAUACACGUUACAACUAUUGGAAACAAUAAAUCAAUGAAGAUAAACUAGUCACAGAAGCUACCUUGAAACCCCCCCUUUUUUUAGGGGAACAAAAAGACUUCAGAAACUUGCAGGACAUAUCAAGAAUCACAUAGUUGUGUCAUGAACCUAGAUGGAAGACGGCCAAAACCAUCUUCUAAUGCCCAGCUCCAGGGCUUGGCCCGGAAUCUUUCAACUCCCCGAUAGGGAAGUUCUCUGGGAACCUAUGCCCUGCGCCUCCAUCACUCGAGCCUGCAUGCUUGGUCUCUCCCAGAAGCAAGUCUCUCACCAAGUCAUCGAUUCCUCCGGCCGCACCGCCUUGCUCCAAUACCUUAAGAGGUCUUGCUUGCGCCAUAAGGACGAGACCCAACACCAAGAGAAGGAAAAGAAGAGGUGGCACCUUGAGUUUUGCAGCCAUGGCAAGAGAAGUGGUCGAAGGUUGUUAGGUGAUCGAGUGGGCUACGUUUUUAGCACAAGAGAGAGGGAU